GGCGCUCAGGGCAGCUCCCCUCAGUGCGCGCGGGGCAGUGGGAUGAGCCCGUUUUCCGCAGCAGCAGCUCCAGGGAGAGUUUCAUUGAGGGCCGGGAGGCAGCGCUGGGCUGGGAUCUGCUCUGCUCCUCCCGGCAGCCGAGGCGCCUUCCCCGCCCCCGGGUCUCGGAGCCGCGCGUGGCCGGGCAGACGCUUCAAGGAGUCUCCUGGAAUUUCUAGUUGGAGAGAGCUACUUGAGAUGAGAUGAAAUAUCACUUAAACUCUCUGUUAAGACGAGAAAUGCCAAAUAAUUCGGUGCGACUUAGCAGGGGCUUAGAAAUCUUAUAUCAAGAACUAUUUAAACUCUAUCUGCCUUCACUGGGAAAGUUACCACAAUUUAACAUCAAGCUGCUCGAGUUGAAAGUGUAACACAAAGCUUGUGGCCCACCAGAGAUGAACUGAGGACAGACCUUUAUGUAUGGUAAAUUGCUUUGAUGAAGGUGGCUUCAGAAGAGGGUAAUGAGAAUUGUGCUGAUAUUGUUUAACGUCAAGGCGAAUAAGGAAACCUUUUGAACCUGCGCAAAUAUUUGGAGUCGCACAUGGUUUUCAAUGAGCACACUCUUUUGGAGCGGCUCCUGGUGAUGAUGCCAAUCAGCAACUGAUCCGUAGCCUGUGCCUAGGUCAGUGCAACUGGGGAACCAGGACCAGAAUGUGGAGGAUGGACCACAGAUGAUCAGCACAGGAUAAGUGCAACUAUUUUUUAUUUAUUGCUAUUGAUUUGUGUGUUUAGUUAUAGACCCAGGGCAGGGAGCCCAAGGCCUGGGGAGAAACCCGUAUUCUGGAUACAAGCCUCAGGCAAUCUUCUCGGGGAGGCCAGGGUCCUAGUCAGUGAAUCCUCAGCCAACCCUCUGCAGCUAGAGUAGGGCAUGGGAGCAUACCCAACUCAACAUGCCCAGCAGCGUCUGUCCUGAGUCACAGCGACCUGUGUGACCCACACAGAGUCACCAAGUAAGCACAGGAAAUCGGUUUAUUUCACUCCACAACCUGCCUCAAAGUGCUGAACCUACCAUGCCCAGAUCCAUUUUAUUAUGUCCACAGAGUCUGCACAGAGACAAAAUUGUGUUGCUUUUUAUAUUGUAGUGCCUGGUACUCUUAAGGCAUUAAUAUGUUCCGUAGCAAAUCACCUUGUAAAGCUGGCUGUUUCUGGGGCAUAAGCAUCCCACUUCCAGUGCAGCAUAAAGGGGUUCUGAAAUGUUCAGAUCCCAUGCCACUCAAGGGACACUGGGCAUAACCCCUCUGUAACAGGGACCCUACCACAUUACUAGAGGGUCAAGGGUGCUUGGGUUUCACCCCCUCUUCCCCCACCACUUUCUAUUCCCGUUCACUUUCCCCGCCACUCCUUGCCCUUUCUUGGGUCUGGCAGGUCAUCCCUUCCCUUUGGGGUGCUCCCUGGCUGCCUUGGGUAUGGUUCAUUCCACCUUCCCCCCAACCCUUCCUUGCCUCCAUGCUCUCACACCCUUUCCUUACCCCCCUCCCCAACAUUAGUUUGGUCAUUGUUGCUCAUGUUGUCUGGGUGCUACUGCAGAUCAUUAGCAGGCUGAAGAUUUGGAAAUAAGAUGGCCACCAGGUCCAGGUGCAGCCCCUGAUGACCUUAGGACAGAAGUCGAGGAGUCAGGUGACCUGCAUCACCCUUUAUAAGCUCAAGCCUCAGGCCAGUGUAGAUGUGCGCAAUGAGACACGGAAGUUUUCUCAUAGAAAUGACAGCUAUGUUCUUCUGAAUAUGCAAGCAAAAAGGAUAGAUGGUUUAGCAGGCAGUCAAAGCUAUAUACAUGUCUUGGAGGUCUUAUAUGAGUGUUGUUGGAAAAUGAAACCAAUUAAGAAACAUCUGCAGACAACUGAAUGCUGUGAAGUGUGAACAAUGAAAUUUCUUUCAAGAGAAGAGAGAUACCACUCUGAACAUGUCUGGGAAAGCUCUUUCCAAACAAAAAGGCUUGUUCAUGUCUUUUUCAUAAAUCUUAUGGUGCUUGAAUAUGGCUCUAAAGAGCACAGAAGUCUGAAACAGUGUCAAUCAUACUUUGGUAAUACGUUGCAUCGAUUGUGAUCAGUCUAGCCAGUUAAAUUCCUGGAGGAUUUAGUAGAGGAGUACCAUGCAAUACUGAUCUGAUUAUGUAUAAGACAUUUUACUGUUUGUGGUCCCAGAUUUGAUUAAGUUGACUUCUAAAGAUAACUGCUUUCUGUUCAUGACAUCUUUAGAAGUGAGUGUAAAGGGUUUUUUUUAAUGCCUAAUUAUGCAUUUCCCCCUCUUAACAUGUUUAAAUUUCCAUUAAGCUUAACCUCAGCUCUAAAUUUCCUGUGCUUGUAAUACAUCCUUGAUCCUUGGGAUAACUACAACGUCCCUGUAAUAGUUUUUAGCCUUAACUUAAAGAUGUCUACUCCCUACUUUGAGGCCCAGUGGCAAAAUGGUUAAGCGGCCUUCCUACAGCUCCAGAGACAUGAGUUUAAGCCUUAUUUUACAGCCCCAGUGAACCCAGCUCUAAAUAGGCAUCUGGUCAUUUUGGGCUGGGAAGUCAACAGGGGCUGGAUGAGAUGCUAGUCACAUCAUUCCCUUGUGUGCCAUUGGCUACAGAAAGUGGUGAGCUUUCACCAUAAUAACUCAGACAGACAUAGGAGUCUUAAUUAUAACUCCAAUUUAAGAUGGGUUACUAUUGUGUGGGGGCUACUAAUGAGAAUUAAUCAUGGAAAGAAUUUUCACCUAGCUGCUUGUCUGAAAUGAAGCCUUGGAAAAUUUGUGACCUAAUGAUCUCAUUUAAAAUGAUAAGCUAGCUAGGUAGCUCGAGUACUGCUUGCAGUGUAGCUGUAGCAGUACUGAGCUCAGUGUCAGGAAACCACCAGAACAUUUCCUCUGCUUCACAGGCAGUUUUGUGCCAAGCACCAUGCUGCUGCAACCGCACUAGGGCAAUUAUUUCUGUUUCUUGACUAGGUAGAAAUAGCAUUUACUGCUGAGUUUCCAGUAGGUACUUAAAACUUUUCUUCAAAGAUUCUUGCUGGUACAGUCCCAUACCUAGAGUCCCAGCUAUUAUAAACUGACAUAGUUCCACUUAAGUCAGUGAAUCCCAUUUUUAUAUGUAUAAUGUUUAUUUAUUUAUAUAUUCAGUUUAUAAGCUGCCCCUCCCAACAAAGGCUCAGGGUGACUUAUAGUAAGAAAACAGAAUAACUUAAAAACAGGAGUGGGAGAAGGGAACCAAAACUACUUAAAAACAAACUAGAACAGAGACCACCCCAUCUCCCCCCAAACAACAACUCAUCCUGGUUUUGUUUGGUGAAUGCAUGCCCAAAUAAGAAGGUUUUACAGCGCUUCCAGAAUUUUUUGUUUAACAUGAUAGGGUCCUUAACUUGGGUCUGCAGAUACUGCCACCAUAAAGAGUUAAUAAUAAGCUUAAUCACACAAUGAUGGAAAGCAGAAAAGGGGUUAUUGCAAAUUAAUUUAACACUGAAACAAACAUUCCAUUAUUUUGCAGUGCUUUCCAAGCCUAAUCAAAGUAAAGUGGCAAAAGAUUGUGAGGAAGCCAGCCCUGUCAACAGCUCACUGGCUAUGCCAUACAUAUUCCUUGAUAAAAGACUUUGGCUUUCACAGUCUACAUCGCUCCAUAUUUAAGAAGCACAGAAUUCACUAUAAAUGUCUUUGACGAUUUUUCCUGGAGAGGUCAUUUAGAUCAAUACAGUAUAAAUCUCUCUUAGGUAGAAUAUUUCACACAGUGAGUCUCUAGACACUACAAAUCCAUAAGAAGUCAUCCAAAAACAAACAGGAAAAUGCCUAAUGAACUGGAUAAAUAUAGCUAGAUAAAAAUAACACUCUAUUUAUUAAUCUGCUCUCUAUCUAGCAUUCUCCCCUUAUCCACUUGCACUGUAGCUACUGAGAGAGAGAGACAUAAAAGGCUUAUCUUCCUAUUAGUUCUGAGAAUGAAAGCUUUCGCUUGUACUCAGGCUUUUGCCUUUUCUCUUACAAUCUUGCCAUCUCUAUGCUAAUUUCUGUAAAACACCUUUUAAUUGUAUUAUCUCUCAUUGUAAAGUAUUUCAAGAUUCUCUGUUUGGAAAAGUCUAUAGAAAUAACAGGCUGAACCAAAUAAAUCUUUCUUCUAAUGUU